rnacentral:lncRNA from 1 species
GAUUCAUUGUUUCCAAAUUCUCCAGUGCGGCCUCAGUGUGGUAUAGAAUAAUAAAAAGACAAACAAUUUGAGUUGAAAGUUAUGCAUUAUUAGAUGGAAUAACGGGUGUCUAAGUACUGUAGUAUCUUGUUGAGACACUCACGCCUUCAAACUGCCUUCCAGCUGACUUCACUGUAUGAGAGCUUAAGUUUGCGCAACCAGCACUUAGAAGAAGAAGUCAAAGAUCUAGCAGAUAAGAAGGAAUCAGUUGCCCACUGGGAAGCCCAAAUCACAGAGAUAAUUCAGUGGUGAGUGCCCUCCAGAGUGCUGUUGUGGGGGUGGGGUUGUGGCCAGGGUUGCUGUGACUGAGUUCCUGACAACCUUGGUGUCUUCCGUUGCCAUGGAGAUAAAGUUACUUUAAGCUUGUAAAAAUGGGAAAGUAAGCCUUUAAAGAACGUCCAUCUGCUUUUGAUAUUCCCUAAGAUCAAAACUCCAUAUUUAUGGUUAUUUUAAGAAACUGAUAGCCUGAGAAAAAUGUAAAAGAUGAGCAAUACCGUGUUUGUAAGUAUAACACAGCAGUUCACAUAUGGCAUUUUUAAAGUCUUAAAAGAUUGGAGCUUAGAUUCACAAACUAUUUCCUAUACUCUGAGGACUAAUUUUGAUUAUUUGGCCUAUAAAUUUUGUCAUUUUUAUUUACUAAAUGAUUGUUACCAUGCUUAUAAAGGUUUGCAUCUAUUAUACUACAUGGAUAAAGAGGAACCCAGUGAAGACUUUAUUUCUUAUUAACUUUUAUAUUUAUUUAAAUCUUUACCCAUUUUAACCUUUAUAUUAAAAUAGCUAGUUCCUUUAUGUAUUAUCUACAAACCAGUUUAUUACUUAUUGAGGGUUUUAAUUUCCUGUGAUUAUAUCAGCUUAAUCAGUUUUCUGCUUUCCCUUAUCAAAUUUUUUGGCCAAGUUUAUAAUGGAGCUAAACAGUAAUAAAGGAAGAGCUGGAAAAUGGCAUUAUAAGGCGGUGUUUCCAAAGCCUUUGAGUCCCAGGCCACCACUCUAUGUUUACCAGUGACGAGGACAGUGGGGAGUGAUCCAGAUGAAGGAAGGAUUUUUUUUAUUCACUUAUUCAUUCAGUAACUCAGUUGUUCAUUUUUAAAGACCUCUUUUCACCAUGUGCUCAUGGCUGACCUCAAAUUCUUGGUCUUCCUGAAGAAAAACGUAGCAGCAUCUGAACCCUGCAGUGAAGUAACUGCCAUCUGAAGAUGCCAAAUACUAAGGGUUCUGGAGAAGCAUAAAUGAAAUCAACCUAGCUUUGUCGUGAAGCAUUAUGCUGUAUUUAUUUAUUGGCCCGUAAUUCAGUUUGAAAUAACUAGAAAUUUCAACAGUAGAAAAUUUCUUGUUUAAAAGUGUGUAUGUGUGUGAGUAGAGGUAGGCUGGACAUCAACUUUGGAUUGGAUUGCUUCUUCGGUCACUGUACCCUUUUUUUUAAGUAUAAUUUAACAAAUUUUUGUCUAAAUCAUACUGAUUCUUAUUAACUUCAUGACCUUAAGAUAAUAAAUAGGAACUGGACUUGGAUUUCUUUAAGCUUUAACGUUAAUUCUUUCAUUAUUAUUUAAUUAAUAUUUCUAGAAAACAGGGAUGCUUCAUUAUAACCCUGAUUUCUGCAGAAUAUCAUAUUUAAAAUUUUCUAACUUCAGCUUUAAAUAAAAUAUGUAUGUUUUGUGAGAUAAAAUAUAAGAAUCUAGAUAAUGAGAAAUCUUAGUAGUCUUCAGAAAGCCUUAUGCUUGUCCAGUGUGAGAUCUAAAGGGCCAUCUUUUGUGGUUCAUGGAUUAUUUACUGCUUGUCAGAUGUAAGUAACCUGGGCUUCCCUAAACACUGCCAGCUUCCAUUUGUACAUAACUGAGUAGUUAAUAAAUCUGUGCCUACAUCUUGACAGGUAGCCGUCAUAGUGUGGCCAGUCUUUUAAAGGAGUUCUUUGAGUAUUUAAGUUUUUGUCACUUGUUUCUUAAUGAAGCUUUAAAUUACAUAUGUCACUGAAGUUUUCCUGUGUUUUACUUUGCACUAUGUCCACCUUUGUGUGUGUGUGUGUGUGUCCUCUAGGGUGAGCGAUGAGAAGGAUGCACGAGGCUAUCUUCAGGCCUUAGCUUCUAAAAUGACUGAAGAGUUGGAAGCAUUAAGAAAUUCCAGCUUGGGGACACGAGCAACAGUAAGCAAGCUCUGCCGUCUCACACAGAGACACAUCUCUUGCUGGCAGAAAGCACAUAUACAUCUGACUUCUGUAAAAGUUCUUGUGAGAAAUAUUUUAGAUCUUUAUAAGAAAAUAUAACAUAUUACUGUUAGCUCUUAUGUAUAGCUACUUAUUAUUGAAGGAACUGAAAAGGAAAAAACAAUUAUUUGUUCAUUUAUGCAUAUUUACUGAUAUUUCUGGAUUUAAUGAAAAUGUAUUUUCACAAGUUGUGCAUCAGUUCUACUCAGUUAUCAGUGAUAUUGCUUAUAAAAUAGCUGCUUGAUUCACUUGUAUUAUAAAAUUUAAUCUUAAGAAUAAAAUAGGGAACUAAGACAUAGCCAUAUUAUUCUAUAGGAUAUGCCCUGGAAAAUGCGUCGUUUUGCAAAACUGGACAUGUCGGCUAGACUAGAGUUGCAGUCUGCUCUGGAUGCAGAAAUAAGAGCUAAGCAGGCCAUCCAGGAAGAGCUGAAUAAAGUCAAAGCAUCUAACAUCUUAACAGAAUGGUAAGGACCAAUCAUCUAGUCACUACAGUAGUUUAUAAACUUGUUGAUGUUACGUGUUUCGUUGCCUGUUAAGGGUUGUUCUUUGUUUGUUUUUUUAAGCAAAAAAUGAUGACCAGAAGACUAGGAAUACAAUUCAGUAGUAUAAUGCUUGCCUGGCAUGCCCAAGGCCAAACGUCUGCCCCACCUCCCUGACAAAAGUGAGGAACAGGUUUAGGGAGAUAGCUGUCAUAAAAGUGCUUACCUUAUAAGCAUAAAAGCCUAAAUUUGAGCCCC